rnacentral:pre_miRNA from 1 species
UCUUAUGGAUGAACAAAGAAAGUGGUUUCCUGAGAUGGAAUUUACACCUGGUGAAGAUGCUGUAAA